rnacentral:rRNA from 1 species
ACGAACGCUGGCGGCAUGCCUAAUACAUGCAAGUCGAACGAACCAUCCUGAUGAUUGAAGCUUGCUUCAUGAUUCAGACCUUGGUGAGUGGCGGACGGGUGAGUAACACGUGGGUAACCUGCCCAGAAGUGGGGGAUAACAUUUGGAAACAAGUGCUAAUACCGCAUAACAACUUAGAUCACAUGAUCUUUGUUUAAAAGAUGGUUUUGCUAUCUCUUCUGGAUGGACCCGCGGCGUAUUAGCUAGUUGGUGAGGUAAUAGCUCACCAAGGCGAUGAUACGUAGCCGACCUGAGAGGGUAAUCGGCCACAUUGGGACUGAGACACGGCCCAAACUCCUACGGGAGGCAGCAGUAGGGAAUCUUCCACAAUGGACGAAAGUCUGAUGGAGCAAUGCCGCGUGAGUGAAGAAGGUUUUCGGAUCGUAAAACUCUGUUGUUGAAGAAGAAUAUAUGUGAGAGUAACUGUUCACGUACUGACGGUAUUCAACCAGAAAGCCACGGCUAACUACGUGCCAGCAGCCGCGGUAAUACGUAGGUGGCAAGCGUUGUCCGGAUUUAUUGGGCGUAAAGAGAAUGUAGGCGGUUUAUUAAGUUUGAAGUGAAAGCCCUCGGCUCAACCGAGGAAGUGCUUCGAAAACUGGUAAACUUGAGUGCAGAAGAGGAAAGUGGAACUCCAUGUGUAGCGGUGGAAUGCGUAGAUAUAUGGAAGAACACCAGUGGCGAAGGCGGCUUUCUGGUCUGUAACUGACGCUGAGAUUCGAAAGCAUGGGUAGCAAACAGGAUUAGAUACCCUGGUAGUCCAUGCCGUAAACGAUGAGUGCUAAGUGUUGGAGGGUUUCCGCCCUUCAGUGCUGCAGCUAACGCAUUAAGCACUCCGCCUGGGGAGUACGAUCGCAAGAUUGAAACUCAAAGGAAUUGACGGGGGCCCGCACAAGCGGUGGAGCAUGUGGUUUAAUUCGAAGCAACGCGAAGAACCUUACCAGGUCUUGACAUACCAUGAAAAGCUUAGAGAUAAGUCUUUCCCUUCGGGGACAUGGAUACAGGUGGUGCAUGGUUGUCGUCAGCUCGUGUCGUGAGAUGUUGGGUUAAGUCCCGCAACGAGCGCAACCCUUAUUAUCAGUUGCCAGCAUUCAGUUGGGCACUCUGGUGAGACUGCCGGUGAUAAACCGGAGGAAGGUGGGGACGACGUCAAAUCAUCAUGCCCCUUAUGACCUGGGCUACACACGUGCUACAAUGGUCGGUACAACGUGCUGCGAACUCGCGAGGGCAAGCAAAUCACUUAAAACCGAUCUCAGUUCGGAUUGUAGGCUGCAACUCGCCUACAUGAAGCUGGAAUCGCUAGUAAUCGCGGAUCAGCAUGCCGCGGUGAAUACGUUCCCGGGCCUUGUACACACCGCCCGUCACACCAUGAGAGUUUGUAACACCCAAAGUCGGUGGGGUAACCCUUCGGGGAACUAGCCGCCUAAGGUGGGACAAAUGAUUAGGGUG